AGUUGCCUUUUUGCUUUCUUUUAUUUUUUUGUUUUGCUGGAUCAUUCACUUAUUUGCAUCGGUCCCCUACGUAGAGGAUGUGUAGGCCAGAGCUGACUGCUGAGAUAAACUACUGAGGACUUAUACGGAAAUGAUGAUUAAGGUCAUGGUAUAUGGGGUUUCGGGAGCGGUUCCUAUAUUUACGAAGUCUAUGGUGCUAAAAUAAUACUGAUGUUUCACAAAGUUCUCC
rnacentral:lncRNA from 1 species